ACGGGUGAGUAACGCGUGGGAACGUGCCUUCCGGUUCGGAAUAACCCUGGGAAACUAGGGCUAAUACCGGAUACGCCCUUAUGGGGAAAGGUUUACUGCCGGAAGAUCGGCCCGCGUCUGAUUAGCUAGUUGGUGGGGUAACGGCCUACCAAGGCGACGAUCAGUAGCUGGUCUGAGAGGAUGAUCAGCCACACUGGGACUGGGACACGGCCCAGACUCCUACGGGAGGCAGCAGUGGGGAAUAUUGGACAAUGGGCGCAAGCCUGAUCCAGCCAUGCCGCGUGAGUGAUGAAGGCCUUAGGGUUGUAAAGCUCUUUUAUCCGGGACGAUAAUGACGGUACCGGAGGAAUAAGCCCCGGCUAACUUCGUGCCAGCAGCCGCGGUAAUACGAAGGGGGCUAGCGUUGCUCGGAAUCACUGGGCGUAAAGGGCGCGUAGGCGGCGUUUUAAGUCGGGGGUGAAAGCCUGUGGCUCAACCACAGAAUGGCCUUCGAUACUGGGACGCUUGAGUAUGGUAGAGGUUGGUGGAACUGCGAGUGUAGAGGUGAAAUUCGUAGA
rnacentral:rRNA from 1 species